rnacentral:rRNA from 1 species
UACGUAAGGUGCAAGCGUUGUCCGGAAUUAUUGGGCGUAAAGAGCUCGUAGGCGGUCUGUUGCGUCCGCUGUGAAAACUCGGGGCUUAACCCCGAGCCUGCAGUGGAUACGGGCAGACUAGAGGUAGGUAGGGGAGAAUGGAAUUCCCGGUGUAGCGGUGGAAUGCGCAGAUAUCAGGAGGAACACCGGUGGCGAAGGCGGGUCUCUGGGCAGUAAAUGACGCUGAGGAGCGAAAGCGUGGGGAGCGAACAGG